AGUUUGAUCCUGGCUCAGGAUGAACGCUAGCUACAGGCUUAACACAUGCAAGUCGAGGGGCAGCAUUGGGGUAGCAAUACUUCAGAUGGCGACCGGCGCACGGGUGAGUAACACGUAUCCAACCUGCCGCUUACUCGGGGAUAGCCUUUCGAAAGAAAGAUUAAUACCCGAUGGUAUAAAGAGUUCGCAUGUUCUCUUUAUUAAAGAAUUUCGGUAAGCGAUGGGGAUGCGUUCCAUUAGAUUGUUGGCGGGGUAACGGCCCACCAAGUCUACGAUGGAUAGGGGUUCUGAGAGGAAGGUCCCCCACAUUGGAACUGAGACACGGUCCAAACUCCUACGGGAGGCAGCAGUGAGGAAUAUUGGUCAAUGGACGCGAGUCUGAACCAGCCAAGUAGCGUGAAGGAUGACUGCCCUAUGGGUUGUAAACUUCUUUUAUAAGGGAAUAAAGUGAGGGACGUGUCCCUUUUUGUAUGUACCUUAUGAAUAAGGAUCGGCUAACUCCGUGCCAGCAGCCGCGGUAAUACGGAGGAUCCAAGCGUUAUCCGGAUUUAUUGGGUUUAAAGGGAGCGUAGGUUGACGUAUAAGUCAGCUGUGAAAGUUUACGGCUCAACCGUGAAAUUGCAGUUGAUACUGUAUGUCUUGAGUGUACAAGAGGUGGGCGGAAUUCGUGGUGUAGCGGUGAAAUGCUUAGAUAUCACGAAGAACUCCAAUUGCGAAGGCAGCUCACUGGGGUACAACUGACACUGAGGCUCGAAAGUGUGGGUAUCAAACAGGAUUAGAUACCCUGGUAGUCCACACAGUAAACGAUGAAUACUCGCUGUUUGCGAUAUACAGUAAGCGGCCAAGCGAAAGCAUUAAGUAUUCCACCUGGGGAGUACGCCGGCAACGGUGAAACUCAAAGGAAUUGACGGGGGCCCGCACAAGCGGAGGAACAUGUGGUUUAAUUCGAUGAUACGCGAGGAACCUUACCCGGGCUUGAAUUGCAGAGGAACAUAGUUGAAAGAUUAUGGCCGCAAGGUCUCUGUGAAGGUGCUGCAUGGUUGUCGUCAGCUCGUGCCGUGAGGUGUCGGCUUAAGUGCCAUAACGAGCGCAACCCUUAUCAUUAGUUACUAACAGGUCAUGCUGAGGACUCUAGUGAGACUGCCGUCGUAAGAUGUGAGGAAGGUGGA
rnacentral:rRNA from 1 species